UACGGGGGGGGCAAGCGUUGUUCGGAAUUACUGGGCGUAAAGGGCGCGUAGGCGGUUGGAUAAGUCAGCUGUGAAAACCACGGGCUUAACUCGUGGCCUGCAGUUGAGACUGUCUGGCUUGAGUGUGGGAGAGGAGAGUGGAAUUCCUGGUGUAGCGGUGAAAUGCGUAGAUAUCAGGAGGAACACCGGUGGCGAAGGCGGCUCUCUGGACCACAACUGACGCUGAGGCGCGAAAGCUAGGGGAGCAAAC
rnacentral:rRNA from 1 species